rnacentral:rRNA from 1 species
UACGGAGGGUGCAAGCGUUAUCCGGAUUCACUGGGUUUAAAGGGUGCGUAGGCGGGUAAGUAAGUCCGUGGUGAAAUCUCUGAGCUUAACUCAGAAACUGCCGUGGAUACUAUUUGCCUUGAAUAUUGUGGAGGUGAGCGGAAUAUGUCAUGUAGCGGUGAAAUGCUUAGAUAUGACAUAGAACACCAAUUGCGGAAGGCAGCUCACUACACAAUCAUUGACGCUGAGGCACGAAAGCGUGGGGAUCAAACAGG